GACGAACGCUGGCGGCGUGCUUAACACAUGCAAGUCGAGCGAGGCCCCUCCUUCGGGAGGGUGUCCUAGCGGCGAACGGGUGAGUAACACGUGGGCAACCUGCCCUCAGCUCUGGGAUAACUCCGGGAAACCGGGGCUAAUACCGGAUGCGACCUCCACGGGCAUCUGCGGAGGUGGAAAGUUUUUCGGCUGAGGAUGGGCCCGCGGCCUAUCAGCUAGUUGGUGGGGUAGUGGCCAACCAAGGCGACGACGGGUAGCCGGCCUGAGAGGGCGACCGGCCACGCUGGGACUGAGACACGGCCCAGACUCCUACGGGAGGCAGCAGUGGGGAAUAGUGCGCAAUGGGCGACAGCCUGAAGCAGCGACGCCGCGUGAGGGACGAAGGCCUUCGGGUUGUAAACCUCUUUCAGCAGGGACGAAGAGAAAGUGACGGUACCUGCAGAAGAAGCACCGGCCAACUACGUG
rnacentral:rRNA from 1 species